GAGGAGUCCUGCCCCUGAGGAGGAAGGAGCGGCAGAGACAAGCAAAAGGAACAGCAGGCAUCAAAUGAAGCUGGAAGAAGUCAUGCUCAAAACAGAAGAGGUGAUUCUUCGUGCAGCAGUCUUCAUCUUCCCCGCUGACUCAGCAGUCAGUGCUCACUUCAGAGCUGAGGCUGGGUGAGUCAACAGAGUCCUCUGCAUGAUGCCUUGAGUAGCUGCUGUGAAGAACCACAGGAGGAUCCUGAGGAGCUGGAUACUGG